rnacentral:lncRNA from 1 species
GUGAAGAGGCUCAAGUGGAGGCUCGGUUCGGUCUGUUUAGAGAUAGUGCUAGUCUUGAUGCAAGAUAAGUGCAUGAUUUGCAUGGAACAUACCAUAUGCUUGGAAAUCAAUUUGGAUGCACCCGAUGGAACUCCUUGAUGACGUGUGUCAUUUGGAAUCUCGCUUCGGUCCAUUUGGAGACAUUGUUAGUUUCGGUGCAAGAUAGGUGCACAGUUUGCACCUAAUGCACCAUAGUCUAAGAAACCAAUUUGGACGCAUUUGUUGGUACUCCUAGGUGAAGAGGCUCAAGUGGAUGCUAGGUUUGGUCUGUUUGGAGAUAGUGCUAAUCUUGAUGCAAGAUAGAUACAUGGUUUGCAUUGAACAUACGAUAUGCAU